AAAAAAAUAUUUUGUCAAGUUUAGAAUUUGUUUUUAAUUAAUAACUGUCAACUUUUACCAAUUUGAUUAUGUAUUGAUUUCAUGAAAUAGAUAAAUGCAUUUGCAGUUUCAGAUUAUUAUUUUAAAUCAAGUUUUUAUUGCCGAAAAAUAUGUUUAUCCCACCCUUGUCAAUGUAGACUCGAACGGUAGAGGUAAUGGUCAAGUGAGCAGGUAAUAAUACUUUUUAACGUUGUCGAACUCCCGAGAAAGUGCGUUGUUUGUUUGCAAACGGGAGUACAAAGAUAUUGUUCGUCAUAUUGUUGAUGUAGAGAGGUAAAUAAGAAGAUGCAGUAUGAUUUUCAAUGAGACAACGCAAACAAAUGUGUAAACCGUGAACAUUAAAGUAGUUUAAUAUUGAGAAUGGUAAUGGGGAACGUGUCAAAGAGACGACAAUUCGACCAAAUAACAGAAACCAGCCGAAGGCCACCGAUGGGGCUUCAAAACGGCGAGCAAAUCCGCACCCAGAGGCGGAAAACAGUCAUUGAAGCAUUCCAAUAGGGUGCAGUAAAAUAUGUACCGCCUCGCUUCUAUUGCAGUUCAUGUCAUUUCAUUAUUUCGUUGAUUGAAACAUUGGUGUGUUUCCUUGAGAUUUGUGUACCAGUACAUUACAGUUGUAUUAAUUCAUAUAAAGAAUAAUCGACAAAAACGUAAAUUGUUUUAACGAGAUUAUCAAAGAUCUGCAAUAUAAAUUUUGGUCAUUCUGGUUAAAAACCUUAUUAUUACAGAAAAAAAAUAUAGGCAAGGCCAGUGUAUUCAGAAACUUAAUAUUAACGUACACAACACACUAAAAUCGCAUUAAUUCAAACAGGAGUUAGACAGGUACGCACGGUACGUCGAAAGGAUGCAAGUCUCCUUUUAUCCAAACAUCUAUCGCAAUACGAAUAGUUAUCAAAGGUAACAAAAUUUGAUACGCCAGACGCGCAUUUUAUCUACAUAAGACUCAUCAGUGACGCUCAGAACAAAACAGUUAGAGAGCCAAAGAAGUACAAAGUUGAGGAGUAUUAAGGACCCAAAAUUCCAAAAAGUUGUGUCAAAAACUGCGAAGGGUCACACCUAGGAAAAAGACACAAUUCGAAAAUUUACAUAUCGUAUUUGCUUAACUCUAAUUAACUUGACAAUCUAACUAUUCUUGUCAAUGUUAGAAUUGUUUGUAGAUUGAUGAAUAUCUAUAAAUAAAAUCUAUUUGGUAUCUGUUUUUUUCUUCGCCACAAUCUGAAACUCGUAUCAGAUAUCCCGAUGAUCCAAUAGGGUCGAUGUAUUGGUCAUUACAAGUCCUUAGAGGUCUUGAACAAUGAUCCCCUACUGUUAAACAAUUUGAACCCACGAGAAACGUUUCUCUUAUAUGUUGCAUUAACAUUCCGAUAACAUCAGUCAACUCUACAUACAUAAUUUGACUUCUAAACUGAAUUUGACAUUCCAUACAGGCUCACAUACAUACAUACGACGAAAC
rnacentral:lncRNA from 1 species